rnacentral:rRNA from 1 species
CCGCGUGAGAAUUUGGCUUCAGGUCGGGGACAACAGUUGGAAACGACUGCUAAUACCGGAUGUGCCGGGAGGUGAAAGAUUUAUCGCCUGAAGAUAAGCUCGCGUCUGAUUAGCUAGUAGGCGGGGUAAAAGCCCACCUAGGCGACGAUCAGUAGCUGGUCUGAGAGGAUGAUCAGCCACACUGGGACUGAGACACGGCCCAGACUCCUACGGGAGGCAGCAGUGGGGAAUUUUCCGCAAUGGGCGAAAGCCUGACGGAGCAAUACCGCGUGAGGGAGGAAGGCUCUUGGGUCGUAAACCUCUUUUCUCAAGGAAGAAAAUUUGACGGUACUUGAGGAAUAAGCAUCGGCUAACUCCGUGCCAGCAGCCGCGGUAAUACGGAGGAUGCAAGCGUUAUCCGGAAUGAUUGGGCGUAAAGGGUCCGCAGGUGGAACUGAAAGUCUGCUGUUAAAGAAUCUGGCUCAACCAGAUAAAAGCAGUGGAAACUACAGAACUAGAGUACGGUCGGGGCAGAAGGAAUUC